GCCGGAGGGAAACCGAGUCUUAAUUGGGCGUUAAGUUGCAGGGUAUAGACCCGAAACCCGGUGAUCUAGCCAUGGGCAGGUUGAAGGUUGGGUAACACUAACUGGAGGACCGAACCGACUAAUGUUGAAAAAUUAGCGGAUGACCUGUGGCUGGGGGUGAAAGGCCAAUCAAACCGGGAGAUAGCUGGUUCUCCCCGAAAGCUAUUUAGGUAGCGCCUCGUGAAUUCAUCUCCGGGGGUAGAGCACUGUUUCGGCUAGGGGGCCAUCCCGGCUUACCAACCCGAUGCAAACUGCGAAUACCGGAGAAUGUUAUCACGGGAGACACACGGCGGGUGCUAACGUCCGUCGUGAAGAGGGAAACAACCCAGACCGCCAGCUAAGGUCCCAAAGUCAUGGUUAAGUGGGAAACGAUGUGGGAAGGCCCAGACAGCCAGGAUGUUGGCUUAGAAGCAGCCAUCAUUUAAAGAAAGCGUAAUAGCUCACUGGUCGAGUCGGCCUGCGCGGAAGAUGUAACGGGGCUAAACCAUGCACCGAAGCUGCGGCAGCGACACUGUGUGUUGUUGGGUAGGGGAGCGUUCUGUAAGCCUGUGAAGGUGUGUCGUGAGGCAUGCUGGAGGUAUCAGAAGUGCGAAUGCUGACAUAAGUAACGAUAAAGCGGGUGAAAAGCCCGCUCGCCGGAAGACCAAGGGUUCCUGUCCAACGUUAAUCGGGGCAGGGUGAGUCGACCCCUAAGGCGAGGCCGAAAGGCGUAGUCGAUGGGAAACGGGUUAAUAUUCCCGUACUUGGUGUUACUGCGAAGGGGGGACGGAGAAGGCUAUGUUGGCCGGGCGACGGUUGUCCCGGUUUAAGCGUGUAGGUGUGUGUUCCAGGUAAAUCCGGUUCACUUUAACACUGAGGCGUGACGACGAGGCACUACGGUGCUGAAGCAACAAAUGCCCUGCUUCCAGGAAAAGCCUCUAAGCAUCAGGUAACAUCAAAUCGUACCCCAAACCGACACAGGUGGUCAGGUAGAGAAUACCAAGGCGCUUGAGAGAACUCGGGUGAAGGAACUAGGCAAAAUGGUGCCGUAACUUCGGGAGAAGGCACGCUGACACGUAGGUGAAGUGAUUUACUCAUGGAGCUGAAGUCAGUCGAAGAUACCAGCUGGCUGCAACUGUUUAUUAAAAACACAGCACUGUGCAAACACGAAAGUGGACGUAUACGGUGUGACGCCUGCCCGGUGCCGGAAGGUUAAUUGAUGGGGUCAGCGCAAGCGAAGCUCCUGAUCGAAGCCCCGGUAAACGGCGGCCGUAACUAUAACGGUCCUAAGGUAGCGAAAUUCCUUGUCGGGUAAGUUCCGACCUGCACGAAUGGCGUAAUGAUGGCCAGGCUGUCUCCACCCGAGACUCAGUGAAAUUGAACUCGCUGUGAAGAUGCAGUGUACCCGCGGCAAGACGGAAAGACCCCGUGAACCUUUACUAUAGCUUGACACUGAACAUUGAGCCUUGAUGUGUAGGAUAGGUGGGAGGCUUUGAAGUGUGGACGCCAGUCUGCAUGGAGCCGACCUUGAAAUACCACCCUUUAAUGUUUGAUGUUCUAACGUGGACCCGUUACCCGGGUUGCGGACAGUGUCUGGUGGGUAGUUUGACUGGGGCGGUCUCCUCCUAAAGAGUAACGGAGGAGCACGAAGGUUGGCUAAUCCUGGUCGGACAUCAGGAGGUUAGUGCAAUGGCAUAAGCCAGCUUGACUGCGAGCGUGACGGCGCGAGCAGGUGCGAAAGCAGGUCAUAGUGAUCCGGUGGUUCUGAAUGGAAGGGCCAUCGCUCAACGGAUAAAAGGUACUCCGGGGAUAACAGGCUGAUACCGCCCAAGAGUUCAUAUCGACGGCGGUGUUUGGCACCUCGAUGUCGGCUCAUCACAUCCUGGGGCUGAAGUAGGUCCCAAGGGUAUGGCUGUUCGCCAUUUAAAGUGGUACGCGAGCUGGGUUUAGAACGUCGUGAGACAGUUCGGUCCCUAUCUGCCGUGGGCGCUGGAGAACUGAGGGGGGCUGCUCCUAGUACGAGAGGACCGGAGUGGACGCAUCACUGGUGUUCGGGUUGUCAUGCCAAUGGCACUGCCCGGUAGCUAAAUGCGGAAGAGAUAAGUGCUGAAAGCAUCUAAGCACGAAACUUGCCCCGA
rnacentral:rRNA from 2 species